UACGAAGGGGGCUAGCGUUGCUCGGAAUUACUGGGCGUAAAGCGCACGUAGGCGGCUUUCUAAGUCGGGGGUGAAAUCCUGGAGCUCAACUCCAGAACUGCCUUUGAUACUGGAGAGCUUGAGUCCGGAAGAGGUGAGUGGAACUCCGAGUGUAGAGGUGAAAUUCGUAGAUAUUCGGAAGAACACCAGUGGCGAAGGCGGCUCACUGGUCCGGUACUGACGCUGAGGUGCGAAAGCGUGGGGAGCAAACAGG
rnacentral:rRNA from 1 species